rnacentral:lncRNA from 1 species
CUGUAAUGUUCAUCAUCUUUGAGUAGUUGGAAGAUAUUCCAAAAAACUGCUUUCUUUCAAGGAUUCCUGAAACACUUGGAAAUUCACUAGGCCUUGUCAAUAACUGUGCAAGGAUGGAGAAUGAAUCACAAUAUAUUUACAUUUCAUUUGAGCAAGUAGAAUGUUCUGUGCUAGUGCCUUGGACUUACCCCAUAUAGCAGAAAAUUACUCUGGGAUAACGGCACAAAGAGUUCAAGCCUAUGAUGCAGAAGUAUCUCAGUCCAGCUCCUUGCUGUCACCAUGGGAUAGAAAGAAAAAAUAAUGGAUGGUGGGACUGUAAACUUGCUACAAAGAGCAUUUGGGCUGCCAGGAGAUGCCACCAGAAGAGAAGACGUCCUCUAAUUCCAUGUGUUUUUCGUGCAGAGGAAUUAGGUUUCACACAUUUCUGAGAGGAGAGAAUCAUCCUAAGUUCUCCAAAGAGGCUAAAGCACUAAGUCAAGAGGCUAAAGCACCAAGUCAUUCGCUCUCAGUUUGAAGAAUGAUCAGUUCUUCUAAUCAGCAUGAACCAACUGCACUGCCAACAUUACUGAAGUCCAUUGAUGAAGUUCAUGAACUCCUUCUUGUCCUACUCACAGAUACUGUAAGAUUACCAGGUAUCUUCACAGCCGGAAGAGUAGACCAUUAUAUUCCACACCAUGGUAUGUAUUAAACUCAAGGUAGGAUGAUGCUAAAAGUUCUGGGAUGAGCUAACCCCUUGGGGCCUUCAAAAUCCAGUCCUUGGCAGAGCUGACUUUGGUCUGCAUGCAGGUAUGGUAUGCUAGAUGCUUAGCACUGAGAUUAUCAUUGCAGGCAGCAUUGCA